rnacentral:tRNA from 1 species
GGGGUUAUAGCUUAGCGCUAGAGCAUGUGCUUAGCAUGAGCGAGGUUCUGGGUUUAAUCCCCGGUACCUCCA